rnacentral:piRNA from 1 species
GAAACAAAUGAAACCAAGGGUCAGGACAAA